AUAUUUGAUGCAACAACUGACUUCAGGCCCCUUGUAGUGCUUUCCGGACAUCCUCUGCGCUCAUGAAGACGCUUUGCUCGCAGCCAGGGAUUGCUAGAUAACACACUUCAGAAGCAUAUACUGAUAGAACUAUGGAAGACAGUCUUGGUUCAAGAUCACAUCAUAUCAGUUAUGGGGCCUUGUUGUGAGUCUUUUUUGAGAGCGAAGAGAAAUAUAUAUCUGUCACAUCUGGUAGACGUUGAGAAGAAAUAGCAUCUGCUGAAAUGGAUCCAUGAAAAUAAGCAAUGUUUCUGGGAAAAGAAAUGCAAACAGGAACGACUUGAGAAGAGAAAUGGCAGAGCAGCACAGUGAAGGCUGUAGUUCCGUGAGUUAUCCCAUUGCCAAUCUCACCUCGUGCCACAUGCACAGAGAUAAAGAGCUGUUGUCUAAGAAAAGUUCAGUGUCUGUGUCCGUAAGUCUAGCUAUUUCUUAGACACUCCAUUUUAGUGGGAAUUCAUAGGACAGCAAUCUUUUUCCAUGGCGAAACCAUAGAGCUUUCUGACAGACAAGAUUUAUAGAGUCACAGUGUCAAAGGAGGAAUACACAAUGCCUGUGAUAAUGCUACAUCUUUGACAUUCUGUGCUCAUCAACAACAUUCUGCUUGUGACGGGAUCAAGUAGGACUUUGUUUCUGCACGACUUCCAAACGUGAGGUUGCACUUCAUAAAUAAUCUACACAUGUUACCCUUCAGGCACCUGUAAAAAGGAAGCACUUCAAAAAAUUUACAAUUUACUUGUUUGCAAGUCCACUAAAUGGAAAUUUCCAAGCCUUUCUUACUUUCUCCUGUUGCAUUAACAAAACCAGAAACCUUCCUGCAGAUGAGAACAGAGUAGCCACUAAUAUUCUUGUUGGACUGAACAAUUACUUUUGAAGUCUGUUUAUUCAGAGGCUCAUCAUUUGCUGUAUGCCUCACUACCUGUAUUUCUCUGUGAGUCUUGAUGGGUGGAAUUCAUUUUAAUUUCCUGCUCUUCUACCACACUAGUUAUACCAUCAGCUUUUUUCUUUUUUUUUGCUGUCAUAGUGCUUUAAAAAAAUUGAACUGUGAGAGACUGCUACUUAAAAAAAGAAAAGAAAACCCACCCCAGAACUAUUUCUAGAUUCAUCUCCAUCUUACUAUUUCAUGUAUCACCAUCUUUAGGCACAACUUCAGACUCCCACAAAGCUGUUAAAGUGCCCUAAGAUUUCCAGGUUUGAUAUUUUAGAUUAUACUACCUUGGAAGCAGGGACAAUGAUUCCUCCUUGUUCCUGAAAACGGCAAGCAUAAAAUGCCAGUGCUGUGACAGCAAAACAGCUAAAAUAAUUUUAAUUUAAAAACAUACCUCUCUCUUGUUUUGAACUCAGGAUACAAAUACAUCUAUAGACACACAAUGUGAACCCAGUAAAUACAAGUAACAGAGCUGAAAAUGUGAAGAGACUGAUAAGGAAAAAAAAAAAAAAAGUGGUAUCUUCAA